CCGUUACUUGGUUGUUACAAAGGCGAAGCAUAGGAGGGAAAUCAAAUGUUUGAACGCUAGCAUAUAAUGCCAUUCCUAAAAACUACAGGAGCGGAGAUUCAGGCGCGCAGAUGGGGAAGAGAUGAUUGGGACCUCCACUCUCACCCAGUGGCAUGUAACCAAGAGGCUUUCAUGCAGAAUGAUUCGAUUUGAUGAAGAUGAAAUAGGGACCAAAAAUUUACCAGUAACGCCACCUGAUGGAGGUUUGGGGAACUUGCAGUGUGUUCACCUGGCUAAAAA